UACGUAGGGUGCAAGCGUUAUCCGGAAUUAUUGGGCGUAAAGAGCUCGUAGGCGGUCUGUCGCGUCUGCUGUGAAAUCUGGGGGCUCAACCCCCAGCCUGCAGUGGGUACGGGCAGACUAGAGUGCGGUAGGGGUGACUGGAAUUCCUGGUGUAGCGGUGGAAUGCGCAGAUAUCAGGAGGAACACCGAUGGCGAAGGCAGGUCACUGGGCCGCAACUGACGCUGAGGAGCGGAAAGCAUGGGGAGCGAACAGG
rnacentral:rRNA from 1 species